UGACCCGGAAAGGAAGUGAGUUAGUACUUCCGGGUUAUAUAUUGAUAUAUAAAGCGUUGUUUAUUUCGCUUGUUCGGCCUUUUUUUAAUUAAACAGGGUUAUCAUAUAAUAUAUAUAGCAAAAGAAAGCAUACCUUGCCGAUGAAUGUGUGUGCUUCGUUGUAAUAUUUAAGGUGAAACCAGGAAAAAAAACCGGAAGUUUGAAAACGCCGAAUCGACACGCCCACAUAUUUCAGGAUAUAAUGAGACCUCCAGACGAAAUCUUCCGUUUGUUAUUUUUUUAACAGGCUACGUCUUGCUCGUAAGAGUUCUUCAACAACAUACUUUAAAAGAGCCCACGGGAUUCUACAAAGUUUGUUUUCGGAAGUUCGCUUUUUAUCAGCAAAGAUGCCUCGUGGACGCUCUCAUCGGCUCUCGCUUGCAGCGAAGAAGAGAAUGGAUCUCAUCCGCGAUCGGAAAACUCUCGUGGAGAGUUUGUUUGAAGCCCCCCCAGAAUUUUUGGGUAUGUAUCUUUUUUUUAAAGCUGUCUUGUGUACGCUUUUCACAGCGACUGUACUGUAGAACAUUUGUGUUCAAGUGGAUUGUCUUGCAUUAUGUUUCAUAAUGUUUAUUUUAUUCUCCUUGUCUAUUCAUAAUAGAGUCUGGAACAGGGCGUCGCCAUGCUGUGAAGUUCUGGCCAAUGUCCAACUUUUCUGGAAAGCAAUGCAAGUUGGUCCUUCCUGCCGAGUCCCCAGACAAGAAGUUUGCACUGCUUGUAGGGACUUCUCAUCUGCGAAGCAUCGCGGAUGGUUUUGUGGAGACCCCAGCAGAUCUUUCUGUCGGUGUCCUGUCCGUUCCGGGGGCCUGUGCAAGCCACUUGUUGAUGGAGGUCCAAAAUGCUGUCGUCCAGCGCACUCCAGAUGUUGUGGUUCUUCUGGCUCCCGGCAAUGACUUGACCGGAAGCAGGACCUUCGCCGCGGCCGGAGCAGACUUUGUCAAGCUCCUUCAUUGUCUUCUCGAGCGAUGGACUGAGGUACGAUAUCCUAUACAUUAUGUUAGUGUGUACGUUAUUAUGUUGAGUCUGACAUUUGGAGAAAUUAACUUACUGAACAUCUAUUGUUUAGGUUGUCGUGGUGGAUUUCCCUCCAAGGCGGAAUGUAGAGGAGGCGUCGCAAGGCUUCCUGCGUACUCAGUUUCGUCAGGCGG